ACUCCUACGGGAGGCAGCAGUGGGGAAUAUUGCACAAUGGGCGCAAGCCUGAUGCAGCCAUGCCGCGUGUGUGAAGAAGGCCUUCGGGUUGUAAAGCACUUUCAGUCGUGAGGAAGGUAGUGUAGUUAAUAGCGCAUUAUUUGACGUUAGCGACAGAAGAAGCCCCGGCUAACUUCGUGCCAGCAGCCGCGGUAAUACGAAGGGGGCUAGCGUUGUUCGGAAUCACUGGGCGUAAAGCGCACGUAGGCGGAUUGAUAAGUUAGGGGUGAAAUCCCGGGGCUCAACCUCGGAACUGCCUUUGAUACUGUCAGUCUUGAGUCCGAGAGAGGUGAGUGGAACUCCGAGUGUAGAGGUGAAAUUCGUAGAUAUUCGGAAGAACACCAGUGGCGAAGGCGGCUCACUGGCUCGGUACUGACGCUGAGGUGCGAAAGCGUGGGGGAGCAAACAGGAUUAGAUACCCU
rnacentral:rRNA from 1 species